CUCUUAAAUUAAUAAUAGAAUUUUAUAUUUAAGUAAAAAAGCUUAAAUGAGUUUAAAAGACGAGAAGACCCUAUAGAGUUUUAUAAAAAUUAAUUUUGAAAUUUUUUGUAUAUUUUAUUUUAAUUAUUAAGGUUUUAUUUUAUUGGGGUGAUAGAAAAAUUUAGUAAACUUUUUUUUUAUGAAAACAUUUAUAUAUGAUUAAUUGAUCCAUUUUAAUGAUUAUAAGAUUAAAUUACCUUAGGGAUAACAG
rnacentral:rRNA from 1 species